rnacentral:rRNA from 1 species
UUCAGCCUACGGGGGGCAGCAGUGGGGAAUAUUGCACAAUGGGGAAAACCCUGAUGCAGCGACGCCGCGUGAGCGAAGAAGUAUUUCGGUAUGUAAAGCUCUAUCAGCAGGGAAGAAAAUGACGGUACCUGACUAAGAAGCCCCGGCUAAAUACGUGCCAGCAGCCGCGGUAAUACGUAUGGGGCAAGCGUUAUCCGGAUUUACUGGGUGUAGAGGGAGCGCAGGCGGCUUGGCAAGUCUGAUGUGAAAGGCUGGGGCUCAACCCCAGGAUUGCAUUGGAAACUGUUAGGCUGGAGUGACGGAGG